CAAAGCUCUUGACAUAUCAUAUUUCAUACAUUUGAUUCAAGUGGGUUUUGAACUCCCAAUUUUACCCCAAAUACAGAUUGCAGAAUCACAUUGGUUACACAUCCACAUUUUUACAUAAUGCCCUAUUAGUAACUGUUGUAUUCUGCUACCUUUCCUAUCCUCUACUAUCUCCCCUCCCCUCCCCUCCCAUCUUCUCUCUCUACCCCAUCUACUAUAAUUCAUUUCUCUCUUUGUUUAUUUUCCCAUUCCCCUCACAACCUCUUAUAUGUAAUUUUGUAUAACCAUGCAGGUCUCCCUCCAUUACCAUGCAAUUUCCUUUUCUCUCCCUUUCCCUCCCACCUUGUUUAUUUACUUUUAUGUGGUGCUGAGGAUUGAACCCAGUGCCUCACACAUGGGAGGUAAGUACUUUACCGCUGAGCCAGAACCCAGCCACCUGAGCCUGGCUUUGAACUUGCAGUCCUCCUGCCUCAGCUUCCUGAGCGGCUGGGAUCACAGGCAUGUGUCACCCUUCCCAGCUCUCCACAAGGAUCCAAUGAAAUGAGAUUAUAAGUGUAAAAGUGCUUUACAAUCUUAAGAAUACUAUUUAAAUCUGAACUGUUUGCCAGGUGCAGUGGCACAUGCCUAUAAUCCCUGAGGCACAGUGUUGAGGGCCACAGCCAAGUCGGGAUGGCGCAUGGCAUUUUGCCAGAAGGAGUGGUUAAGAGAUGACGCCAGCAAGCCAUUAAGAUGAUGAUAAUUAAGUUACAAUUGCUGUGGCUGGAUGAUGCUGGAUUGAAACAGGCUGUGUAUUGAGUUGUAUAUGGACCCUGCUGACCAGCAAUUGCACCAGAUACUUUGGAGUUCCUUUGAGUUCUCCCGGGGUUUUGGGAGAAUUGGCGAGCGGAGCCCGGUGGUGGGAGUGUGUUCCCGGGAAGUGUGUGUGGAGUGCCGGUGAGAGUUCGGGAAUAAAGAGUUGCUGUUUGAACCU
rnacentral:lncRNA from 1 species